rnacentral:rRNA from 1 species
CCUACGGGAGGCAGCAGUGGGGAAUAUUGGGCAAUGGGCGCAAGCCUGACCCAGCAACGCCGCGUGAAGGAAGAAGGCUUUCGGGUUGUAAACUUCUUUUCUCAGGGACGAAUCAAGUUACGGUACCUGAGGAAUAAGCCACGGCUAACUACGUGCCAGCAGCCGCGGUAAUACGGAGGUGGCAAGCGUUAUCCGGAUUUACUGGGUGUAAGGGGCGUGUAGGCGGGAAAGUAAGUCAGAUGUGAAAACCAUGGGCUCAACCUGUGCCCUGCAUUUGAUACUGUUUUGCUUGAGUACUGGAGAGGCAGACGGAAUGCCUAGUGUAGCGGUGAAAUGCGUAGAUAUUAGGAGGAACACCAGUGGCGAAGGCGGUCUGCUGGACAGCAACUGACGCUGAGGCGCGAAAGCGUGGGGAGCAAACAGGAUUAGAUACCCGUGUAGUC